GGCCUGGCUGGGCGGUCCGCCUCACGGUGUGUACUGUCUGGCUGGGUCUUACCUCUUGGUGAGCCGGUGUGGCCUUCACUGGUCGCAUCGGGGAACCAGGACUUUUACCUUGAGAAAAUUAGAGUGUUCAAAGCAGGCCUACGCCUGAAUACAUUAGCAUGGAAUAAUAAAAUAGGACGU
rnacentral:rRNA from 1 species